UGUGGUCCAUAUUUUUAGUAGUUAAGCUACUAUCUUUGUGCUUCCUUAUCUACAAAUGCUGGUCCACCAUGCGCCACACGUCAGUAUUUGCUGUAGGCCAAUCUGACUAUAUAAAUAUGUUGGUCCUCUCUAAGGCUGCACAUAAGGCUUCUCAGGCUGGGUCGGCCGAAUAGCUUGAACAGUUCGGCAAACAAGACGUGUCAGAUGCACCGAUUCUAUUGGUUGUUCGGAUAAAUUUUUUAUUUUAUUUGCUCAUGAUACUUAGUAUAUAGCUAAUAUAGGAUUAAACACACGGGCUUCAACUUAUUUUGGCAUUUAAGACUUUAAAAGGAAUAUUGAUGAAGCCGCUUUAGCUGAAUGAAAAUUUUUCAUCAUAUAGGACUUUGAAACAAGAAGGAAUAAGGCUGAAUGAGAAUUGGCAGUUUCCGGUGUUUUCCCGGUAAUUAUUGUUACAAACUUUUCAAUUAUUGCCUGGGCGUUACUCUAUUUGGAUAUUAGCUAAACCUGAAAAAAUCAAAUAGUUUACACAGAUAGCUGCGGAAGGGAAAGCUGAUCAAAAGGAUUUGAACUCAUCCAUCUUCAAGUCUUAUGGGUACUGACCAGAAGAAUCGAUUCCACUUGGUCAUUAGACAUAGUCUCUUGUGUAUUUUUUGGUUCAAAUUGGAUGCUAAGAAAUGUAACGAGUUAUUUUUAAGAUGAAGACAGAUAGAAGGAAGACCAUGUUCCUUAGCAUCAUGCUGGAAUGACCAGAGAAAGAGUAGAAGAAUCAUGUUGGAUUUAUUGCUUAAGGCUGAUAGUAGUGGAAUCCAAAAGGAGAAGAAUAAGCAUAUAUAUGAAGGAGCUGAAUGUAGUUUGGCGAAUGGUGGCUCCUGACAAAAUGGAAGUAAUGCUAUUUCGGUUCUUUUGUGCCAUGCUGCGGAGUCAUGACGUUGAGAUUUAUGAUACCAUGGGCUGCUGACUGUCGAGUUCCAUUGCCUUGGUACAAAUUUGUUAUCUUUUGCCAGGAUCUCAGGAUCUAUGGGCCUUAGUGGAGAGGAUCUAACCGGGGUUUGAUAUGUGCAGUAUCAUUUGUGGGGCUUAACCGCUUAAGGGCUUGGGAUCUAUUCACUUGACAGAUGGUUGGUGAUUGAACCUCUUGGGGAUUAUCAUCAGGAAAAAAAAAAAAAAAAAAACUCUUGGGGAUUACUGAAUUUGAGUUUGGUCAUAAUUUCUGUUGGAUAAGGUUUUGGAUGGUGGAGGGAUGUUGUUUUCUGUUGCUCUGUCGUCACUAAUAUAUUUUUCAAUUUUUUUCCAUUAAUUUGGGCUUGGAUAUUGUUUGCUAUUGCAGGUUUGUUGUGGGUUAUAAACUUUAGGGCUAGCUCGGUGGCCCUUUUGAAUCUUUUUAUCUGAAAUUACAUUUUGAAUGGGCUUUUUCUCCCAUCCUUUAUUUCCAAACAAAAUUAAAACAAAGAAAGUGGGAGAAAUCCUGCCUCUUCAGCCUCGCUUCUCGGUUGCUUACAAAUGUCCAAGCAGUCUUAGAGACAAUUUCAGCUUAAAUCAUUUCACAUUAAAAAAAAAAAA